CAAAAUUUUAUUUUAAUAAUUUCUUAAUGAAUUAAUUUAAUUUCUUGAGCAGUAAUAAAUAUUGAAUAAUAAAGGGGAUUUUGAUUUAGUUAUUUUUGUUAGUAUUGAUUAAAUAUGUGCCAGCAGUCGCGGUUAUACAUAAGAUGCAAGUAAGUAUUUUUAGUUAUGUAGUUUAUUUAUUAUUUUAAUUUAGUUUAAUGAUUUUUAGGUAAAAUUUAAAUUUUUGUUUUUGUUUUAAGUUUAUGUUAGAUGAGGCUGUGAAAUCUAAAUUAUUUAAACUAGGAUUAGAUACCCUAUUAUUUUAGAUUUAAAGAUUUAAACUUGAGUAGUAUUAGUUAUGGUCUUGAAACUUAAAGAAUUUGGCGGUAUUUUAGUCUAGUUAGAGGAAUCUGUCCCGUAAUCGAUAAUCCACGUUGAACCUUACUUAAUAUAAUUUAAUAUGUAUAUCGCCGUUUAUUUGAAGAUCUUUUUAGGGAGAAUCUUCUUUAUAUUUUAAUUGAUUUUAUUUCAGGUCAAGGUGCAGUUAAUAAUUGAGUGGUGAUGGAUUACAAUAUUUGUAAAAUAAAUGAAUUAGAGUUUGAAAAUACUUUAUGAAGGAGGAUUUAAUAGUAAUUAAUAAUAAGAAUUAUUUUUGUGAUACUAGCUCUGAAAUGUGUACACAUCGCCCGUCACUCUCGUUAUUAAGAUGAGAUAAGUCGUAACAAAGUAGGUGUACCGGAAGGUGUAGCUAGAUUGAU
rnacentral:ncRNA from 1 species